CGGCCGCCACCCGAGCACUGCGCCUUGUACCGAUAACCCUGUGACACCGCAGCGCAUCAGCCUCAAACCUCACGGCAGCCAAUGGCGAGCGGCAGCUCUGACGUGUCCUCAGCCAAUCAGCUCCCAGCUCUCAGUUUGACUCGUCCGCUUAGAUAGAUAAACUUUACGCUGGGAUCGGCCGCUCGGGUCCCCGGAGAUGGGAAGAUUUCGCGUGACGUCAUUGUAACAGUAGCCAAUCGUUACUCCCUUCAUGCUUGAUUGACGACGACGCCACCCAAUCCCCUGCAGUCGCUGGUAUUUCCUGUAUAGUAGUUUUUAAUAUGGCGAAGACUUACGACUAUUUGUUUAAACUGCUUCUGAUCGGUGACUCGGGAGUCGGCAAAACCUGCGUGCUGUUCAGGUUCUCAGAAGAUGCCUUCAACUCUACGUUUAUAUCCACAAUAGGUAUUGAUUUUAAAAUCAGAACUAUAGAACUAGAUGGCAAGAGAAUUAAGCUACAGAUAUGGGACACAGCUGGACAAGAAAGAUUUCGUACUAUUACAACGGCUUAUUACAGAGGAGCAAUGGGUAUAAUGUUGGUAUAUGAUAUCACCAAUGAAAAAUCUUUUGACAACAUAAAAAACUGGAUACGAAAUAUUGAAGAGCACGCCUCAGCUGAUGUUGAAAAAAUGAUUCUUGGCAACAAAUGUGACGUCAACGAGAAACGGCAAGUUUCUAAGGAGAAAGGGGAGAAGUUGGCCCUUGAGUAUGGAAUCAAAUUCAUGGAGACAAGUGCAAAGGCAAAUAUCAAUGUGGAAAAUGCAUUUUUGAAUUUGGCGCGGGAUAUCAAAGCAAAAAUGGACAAGAAAAUGAAAUUCAUAUGAAGAUCUUAUCAGCUGUAUUAAUAUAAUCCCUGACAAAUGGGAGAGGAGGAUGACGGUUUGGUGUUGUGAAGUUACUUGUCCUUCUGUGUACUAAUAGCAUGGCGGCAAUUUUAUUUCCCCUGAUGAUCGCUCCCUACACAAAGCAAACUGAUGAAAGGAGGGAAAUAGUUCUCAAGGCAGUAACCAAGGAGUCAAAAUUACCCAAGAACAGCAAAAGAAGAGCAGUUUCUUCCGAUGUGUUCUUCUGUGAGGGACAUUGCCUUAAAGGAGUACUUCGCUCCAUCAAACUGGACUGUGCCUCUAUUUGAUUCCCCAUCAACACAGACCUAGAUCCUUAAAGCACCAGCUCUGCCAAACUUUGGCUACCUUAAAAAAAAAAAAGUGACAAGCUACCUUAGUAACUGUUUCACCUAAUGGUUCUGGAACAUGUUCUAAGUUUGUACAUUUCUUCAUCAAUAUAAUUAUUAUUACUUUUUUGGUUGUUGGAGUUGCAUGCUGGGCAAUCUUCUUUAUUUACUACUCAUGGCCCAGUGUUUGUAAUUCUAGGCUUUCCUACAGAGCCAUAUCUCCUCCAUGUCUCCUUGACUGACCUCAAUAUGUGGUGUUCCCUUAAAUUAGGGAACAUGCACAUUAUAACACACAGGCAGAAACAGAUGUUUGGAUAUAUUACUUUAUUACAAACGUAUAUAUGUGGAUGUAUAAAUGUGCACCUUCCACUUGCAUUCCAAAGUGAGUCUUCCAUGUGAAAUCUAAUGGUGAAACCAAAAUCAUUUUGUUUUGCUUUACUUUCAAGCUACUUAGAUUUGUGUAAUUUAUGUUUAGUUCUGCUCUCCAAAGGUUACAUUCUACGACAUGCUGCAAAUGUCCUAUGGUUCACACUUUCGCAUAGAUUUACAUUGAUUCUAUAUAUUAUGAGAUUUCCACCUAUAACUCAAAAUGUUGUAGAAGAGAAGCUACAGUGAUGACAUAUUUAAGCUAGUUUCACAUAUGAUGCAAGAGAUCUAGCAGGCUGUAUCAGCAGAGAACAGGCUGCCGGAGUGCUCUGGAUCCGGCAUUGCCGGGCAGUGCCGGAAUGCCUGACUGACCCUAUAAUGGGAUCUGGCGACUGCUACUCGGCAAAUACGCAGAGAAUUGUUCUUUGUCUAGCCGAUUGUCUGCAUAUUUGCUGGAUAGCAACUGGAUUCUAUUAUAGUUAAUGGGGCUGGCAGGCUUUCCGGUACCGUCUGGCAAUUUCUCAUCCAGAGAGUUCCAGCAGGCUAUUCUAUGCCAGAACAGCCUGCUGGAUCUCUUGCCGCAUAUGUGAAAAUAGCCUUAGUUAAUAAUGAUUCCACCUACAGAGAUAUUGGUAUUAUGUUGGUUGUCACUUAGUUGUCAUUUACAAGCAACGCCAAAUUUUCGUCUUGGAUCAUGUGGUCAGUUUUGCAAAAGUGGCUACUGCAAUGGAGUAGAACAAAGCUAAAAGCGCUUGUAAUUGAGAAACUUUUGGCUGCUGUUCUAGCUUCUGAUUUUGGCCAUUCAUAUGUUUUAGUUGGAAAUUCUCUGUGAUAAGUUUUAUAUGAAUUUAUUAAAAGUCAGCAUUUAUAGACUCUCGUGUACACGACCAUUUGUAUUUUGUGGUCCGAAAAUUGUGGAUCUGCAAAAUACAGAUACUCCCUGUGUUGCAUCAACUUUUUUUGCGGACCCAUUGACUUCAAUGAACGGCAAAGUAUAGGAAAUAUAUAUUUUUGUG